CAUCAUCUAACCUAGCAUUCAUUUGAAAGAGCAAAGCAUGUGCAUGGAUGGAGUGUUGGGUUAGGAGACAAUGGACGGUGGGAGUGAUAUGGACUCUGACUCAGCCUGAAGCUAGCAGCAACAUGUCUUUGAUGGAUCGAUGCAUUCAUUAAAAAGACGAGUAAGACAGCACUGAAUUAUACAUUUGAGGAAUUUGAUAACAUUUGUGAUGUGAUUCUGAUCCCCAAAGACGAAGCCCCGCACGUGAGGAACCCCAACAUUUAUCUCGAUAAUACAACUUACUGAUUCAUAGUUUGCGCCCCCCUCCCUCUCUGUCUCUCUCUCUGAAUACUUUCAGUUUGAGUCUCUGUGGUCGUGGAGCUGUGUCUGUCUUGUUCCAUAAUUUUUUAUGUUCAAUAGCUAGGCAGCGGAAGAUGUGCCGCAAUUAAAUUUGUGCGGUGCGACGUGUCAGAAAGCUGUGUUGUGGUGGAACACUCGAGGAAUGUGGACUGUGAGGAGGUACCACAGAAGGCUGCAGAGAAUUAAUGGAAGAAGAGCUAUGGUAUUAUUAUUGUUGUUAUUAGUAAUUAUGCAUACGAUAUAGGAGCAAAUAAAAGAGUUGGAGGGAGGGAGAGAGAGCCACAAUAUGAAGCUCCCUCCCAGUUCCUUUCCCCUUUACACUAAUCAUAGUUGAAAUCUGGUGGAAUGGAAGAGCUUAAAUUAACUUUGUAUUGUUGUACGUGUCCUGAUUAAUUGAUGCAAAAUCUCAUUCCUCGACGAACUAAAAUCUUGUAGAACUAUGGAUUUUUCUCACCAUCUUAAUUAAAUCAUCUGUGGAAUAUGGAUCUCACCACCAGUUAAAUAAAAUAGAGUGGAACAAGAUACGCAUGAGUUUAAGUGGAGAGAGAAAGAAAGAGAGCAGUCCCACAUCGAUGUUGAGAUAGAAGAGGGAUCGAAGUGGGUUAUAUAAAAACACGAAAGGAAGACUAAAGAAAGCAUGAUCCUUCAGGCAGAAACGGGAUGUGAUGAGUGGUCAGUAUUCGCAAUAAUUAUGCGAGAGAUGGGUGUCCGCCCCAAAGCCUGGUUACGACAAUUGGGCACCCUAAUCUUUGUACCAUCUGAUCCCUAUUCUCAA